rnacentral:rRNA from 1 species
UUGCCUUCGGGAACUCAGACACAGGUGCUGCAUGGCUGUCGUCAGCUCGUGUCGUGAGAUGUUGGGUUAAGUCCCGCAACGAGCGCAACCCUUGUCAUUAGUUGCUACAUUUAGUUGGGCACUCUAAUGAGACUGCCGGUGACAAACCGGAGGAAGGUGGGGAUGACGUCAAGUCCUCAUGGCCCUUAUAGGUAGGGCUACACACGUCAUACAAUGGAUGGUACAGAGGGUCGCCAACCCGCGAGGGGGAGCCAAUCCCAUAAAACCAUUCGUAGUCCGGAUCGCAGUCUGCAACUCGACUGCGUGAAGUCGGAAUCGCUAGUAAUCGUGGAUCAGAAUGUCACGGUGAAUACGUUCCCGGGUCUU